UACGAGGGGAGCUAGUGUUGUUCGGAUUUACUGGGCGUAAAGGGAGUGUAGGCGGGCAUCUAAGUCAGAGGUGAAAUUUCGGGGCUCAACCCUGAACUUGCCUUCGAUACUGGGUGUCUUGAGUAUGGAAGAGGUCGAUGGAAUUCCUGGUGUAGCGGUGGAAUGCGUAGAUAUCAGGAGGAACGCCAAUAGCGAAAGCAGUCGACUGGGACAAUACUGACGCUGAAACUCGAAAGCAUGGGGAG
rnacentral:rRNA from 1 species